rnacentral:lncRNA from 1 species
AGCAGUCCUUGACUCGAGGGAGGAUUUGGGGAAGAAGACGACGGCAUUGUUGAAGAGGAGGAGCAGGUCUCGGUAGAAGGGGAGAGAGAGAUCUUGGCUUGGAGUUCCAUGGCGACGGUGUCCCGGUCGUGGAUGCCGUAGCGCUUGACGGCGCAUGCUAGCAGGAGCUCCUCCCACGUGCCCCAGGAGGACGUAGACGUCGUCGUUUGGUCACUAGUAGUAGUAAUGUUGUUGUUGUUGAAACUAGGACUGCCGCCAGUGGCAGCGCCACCUUUCAUGGUGACGUUUAUGGGGUUGGAUUGUGGCAGCCAGGGACAGGAGAGUGAGGAGGAUUAGAGUCCUGCGGUUGUUUGGAAUUGGGUUGAGAGGAGAUGGGAGAUCGGUCCUGGGUAUGAUGCUGAAUUUGGACAAUAGGUUUGGGCCUGGUCACUGCCACUUGGGUUUGGAUGUCCUCCUUUUGGUGGGCUGGCUGCUGAUGCAUAUACAUACAUACAUAUAUAUAUAUAUAUGUAUAUGUAUGUAAAAGAACUCCUUUUUUUUUUCUUUCUUUUUAAAUACAUAAAACAUAUGUGUGUGUGUAUAUAUAUAUAUAUAUAUAUUUUUUUUUAAUAAAACAUUAUUAUUAUUGUUUUUUUAUUUGAUGUGACUGAACUUGAAAUUGAAUAUUCAAGCUGCCUACGUACCCUUCCAAAGAGAUCAAGUCAAAACGUAGUUCAAAUACAUACAUAUUUUUUGGUAUUUUCUUUUUGUGCCGUUUACAGUUUUAACUCAUGCAGGCAAUGAGUGUUGUGCCAUGCAGUUUAGGCUCUUACAGACAAGGAGCUUUGGUUCGUGCAGUUUAGGCUCAUGCGAACAAGGAGCAUUGGUGAAUUUGUCAAGCAAUUUUGGAGAGGCGUUCCUCACAAUCUUCAUAGCACGGAGCCUUGACCGAGUGAUUGAAGAAGUCUUCGGGCAAGAAAUCGCGCAUUGUGAUGGGGACGGACGAUCUUCGUGUCGAAGUUUCAUCAUCUUCAACACGUUCACGUUGCUUUGAAGGUUGACAAGAGCUGCUUUGCCCCCUUUCCGAUUAGCGAACUUGUGGAGGAGACGUAUGCUUCUUGUGCAAUUUCUUAGGAGUGACUUGAGUCCAUCCUUCAACUUUGCUUGUCUUGGAGGAUGCCCCUAGCGGUUGAGGUGAAAAUUUGAGUCGGAAGAGCCAGAAGUGAAGGUGGUAUAGUUUGACUUCACCACAUCGUCAAGAUCUAGCUCGAUGAUUCCUUUCUGAGCCAGUUUCAUGAUGAGAUCUUUCAGCACGAAACAUUUUUCUGUCGGAUGACUGAUGAAGCGGUGGAAUUUACAGUAC